rnacentral:rRNA from 1 species
AGCGAACGCUGGCGGCAGGCCUAACACAUGCAAGUCGAACGAACCUCUCGGGGUUAGUGGCGGACGGGUGAGUAACACGUGGGAACGUGCCUUUAGGUUCGGAAUAACUCAGGGAAACUUGUGCUAAUACCGAAUGUGCCCUUCGGGGGAAAGAUUAAUCGCCUUUAGAGCGGCCCGCGUCUGAUUAGCUAGUUGGUUGAGGUAAUGGCUCACCAAGGCGACGAUCAGUAGCUGGUCUGAGAGGAUGAUCAGCCACAUUGGGACUGAGACACGGCCCAAACUCCUACGGGAGGCAGCAGUGGGGAAUCUUUCGCAAUGGGCGAAAGCCUGACGCAGCCAUGCCGCGUGAAUGAUGAAGGUCUUAGGAUUGUAAAAUUCUUUCACCGGGGACGAUAAUGACGGUACCCGGAGAAGAAGCCCCGGCUAACUUCGUG